rnacentral:rRNA from 1 species
UACGUAGGGUCCGAGCGUUGUCCGGAAUUACUGGGCGUAAAGAGCUCGUAGGUGGUUUGUCGCGUUGUUCGUGAAAACUCACAGCUCAACUGUGGGCGUGCGGGCGAUACGGGCAGACUGGAGUACUGCAGGGGAGACUGGAAUUCCUGGUGUAGCGGUGGAAUGCGCAGACUAUCAGGAGGAACACCGGUGGCGAAGGCGGGUCUCUGGGCAGUAACUGACGCUGGAGGAGCGAAAGCCGUGGGGAGCGAACAGG